rnacentral:rRNA from 1 species
CCUACGGGAGGCAGCAGUGGGGAAUAUUGCUCAAUGGGGGAAACCCUGAACCAGCAACGCCGCGUGGAGGAUGAAGGUUCUCGGAUUGUUAACCCCUUUUGGUAGAGAAGAUAAUGACGGUACCUAACGAAUAAGCACCGGCUAACUCCGUGCCAGCAGCCGCGGUAAUACGGAGGGUGCAAGCGUUAUUCGGAAUCACUGGGCGUAAAGCGCGCGUAGGCGGGAUAGCAAGUCAGAUGUGAAAUCCUAUGGCUUAACCAUAGAACUGCAUUUGAAACUGUUAUGCUAGAGUGUGGGAGAGGUAGGCGGAAUUCUUGGUGUAGGGGUGAAAUGCGUAGAGAUCAAGAGGAAUACUGAUUGCGAAGGCGACCUGCUGGAACGUAACUGACGCUGAUGCGCGAAAGCGUGGGGAGCAAACAGGAUUAGAUACCCGGGUAGUC